AAGUCGUAACAAGGUUUCCGUAGGUGAACCUGCGGAAGGAUCAUUAUCGUACAAAAUGUGUGAGGCAUGCAAGGGCUGUCGCUGACUUUUUAUAGUCGUGCACGCCAGAGCCAUGUCCUCUCACAUAAAAUCCAUCUCACCCUUUUGUGCACCACCGCGUGGGCGCCCUUCGGGAUCGAUUCGAUCCAGGAAGGGGGCUUGCGUUUUCACACAAACCCCUUUUUAAAAAAAGUGUAGAAUGACCUCAUUUUUGCAAUAAAACGCAAUCAAUACAACUUUCAACAACGGAUCUCUUGGCUCUC
rnacentral:misc_RNA from 1 species